rnacentral:hammerhead_ribozyme from 1 species
AUCUGGCUGACGAGUCCCGAAUAGGAUGAAACGCUCGUCCUGGAU